GCAGAGUGCGUUGUUGCAGAGUCACUGCGAGGUGGUUCGUGUGUAAACAAGAUGUUGGAGAAAGAAAAGUCUGGAACUAGCCAAGUAAAUACUGCUUUUGAAAAUAAUAAUAGAUUAGAAUGAAACUUAAUUGAUUGUAGUGUGAUGCUUGUGGAACGCUAAACCUAAUCGAAAAAUGCAAUAGCUCGCGUCUGUCGCGUCUCAUCAAUCGAUGAGACAUUGCUAACAGAGUUAGCUACUUUAGCUAGCCACCUCACUGUUGCUUAAUAGCUUGCUGCAUUUGAGGCCCGUUUGUCGCAGCGCCUGAUAGACCCUGCAUGUCCAGGCCAUCCUCAAUCUGGACUGUGGACAGGAGAUCCUGAGUUGUCAUCCACGUGAAAAGUAAACAGACGCAGAGUGCAUCACCCAUGGAUCUAUAAAAGAACGGGGCGAUCAGAUCUUCUCCCUGUGUGAUCACAUUACCUUCUCUGUCGGCUGUGUCAUCACACACUCCACACAACAUUGUCCCUGACUGGGAUAUUUGGAAUGCAACUCGAGCUGGGUGGCUGGUCACUACAACCUCCUCCCACUAUGGAGGCAGGAGGAAAAGACUGUGAGGACGAGACCCUACAAACUGCCUUUAAAAAGCUCCGGGUAGAUGCUGAAAGCUUGCCUGCUACACUGCACGUCUGCGAGACCAUUACUCCAAGAGUGGUUAGCCGAGCCUUUCUAGAGGGUGCCAAGCCCAAACUUAGCUGCCCCAAGGAGAACUGGCAUGGUGUGGCUGUCAGAACUACAAAUUCCUGUCUCAAGCUUCAAAGUCACUCACCAGGGCCAUGAUGAUCUAGACGAGACUGCCGAAUCGAGGCAAAGAACCAAUUGGUGUGCCUGAGUCUUCUCAACUAGACACAAGAUGACCAUGAUUUGAAUGCUGAAACUGAGACUGAGAAUGAUGUCGAGGGACAUAUGCAGGGACUACGAGUAUGAUUGGACAUGGUCCGGAUAUUUGUAACCACUACCUACUAGGGGUGCAGAAGCACACCAGCACCCCAUUUUAUUUUUAUUCCAUGGCCAACAAGCUCUCUAGCUACCCUUUAUUCCACACUGUCUUUCAACUUCAGACACUUUAGAACUCUCUACCCCACCUUCACCCAUUUCCCCUAUGCUGCCUCCUUCACUUGUUCUUCUGAUUUGAUAACAUCUAGACUCAGUAACACAUUUAAGUGUUGUGGUGUACUGUUUUUGCUAUUGACAAUUGACAAGCAACAUUGACAAGAAGGGUGUUGAUAUUGCUGCUAACUUGUUGAGUCUUAAGUGCGUUUCUCAUUUUACAUUUUUACAUUUGAGUAAUUUAGCAGGCGAUCUUACCCAGAGCGAUUACAGUAGUGAGUGCAUACAUUUUCAUACUUUUAUUUUUGUUGUUGUUGGAGUUGGCUAGUAAUUUAUAUAAAACCUACCUUACGCAUCCAGUUUUUCCAUUUGUAACCCACCCACCAAAAUCACAAUAUGCUGUUUUACAUGUAUUAUUUGUGCUGGCCUAAUUCCUAAAAAUGUGAAACAUUAGAAGAAUCUGUUCGCUCUCAGAUAGUAAUACUAGUUCAUAUGGUGCUCUUUGAUGUCCCAGGUGUGUGGCAUUGAUGAGUAAAUCAUUGAAUGUUUACUUAACAUAACAUAUACGAAUAUGUAUGCAUUGUUAACUUAAUUUUUUUUUUAAAACAAUGUGAUUGUUGGAGUUUGGGUGUCUGAUUCAUGGGUGACACUAAACUAUUUUUGUCAAAUAUAUGUUUAUUCAUUCAUGAUUAUGGAUAUAUUCUGCAAUGAGUUAAUUGGGCUUUGAACCUGCAAACAGAACAUGUCAAGUUAGAUCUGAACUGCUUUAAUACAGCAGUGCAUUCUGACAGCAUUAAUUGAAGUAGAUUUGACCUUGUUCAUAUAGUUGGCAGAAAUGAUAAUGGAUUAAAUAAAGACCUCUGUCUGAAGGAGAAGAGUAUCUGGUAAAAUAAAGGUAUGUUGGUAAUAUCAUCUA